rnacentral:pre_miRNA from 9 species
UCUCGAUAGCGUAAAAGUUAACUCAAAUUUGUAUGGAGUCGGAAGGUUUGCCAACGUUUGCCGCUAGGGGCGCUGUUCCAAUUGCAUACAAAUUUGAGUUAGAGCUUUUACGCUAUCGA